rnacentral:rRNA from 1 species
GACGAACGCUGGCGGCAUGCUUAACACAUGCAAGUCGAACGAGAAAGCUUCUUCGGAAGUGAUUAAAGUGGCGCACGGGUGAGUAACGCGUAGACAAUCUGCCCUUCAGUCUGGGACAACUUUCCGAAAGGGGAGCUAAUACCGGAUAACAAUGUUUGACACAAGUUGAAUAUUUGAAAGCUCCGGCGCUGAUGGAUGAGUCUGCGUCCCAUUAGCUUGUUGGUGCGGUAGCGGCGCACCAAGGCCGCGAUGGGUAGCGGGUUUGAGAGGACGAUCCGCCACACUGGAACUGAGACACGGUCCAGACUCCUACGGGAGGCAGCAGUGGGGAAUAUUGCACAAUGGAGGAAACUCUGAUGCAGCAAUGCCGCGUGAGUGAAGAAGGCCCUUGGGUCGUAAAGCUCUUUUAUGGGGGAAGAUGAUGACGGUACCCCAGGAAUAAGCACCGGCUAACUACGUGCCAGCAGCCGCGGUAAUACGUAGGGUGCGAGCGUUGUUCGGAAUUACUGGGCGUAAAGGGCGCGCAGGCGGAGGUGCAAGUCGGAGGUGAAAGCCCGGGGCUCAACCCCGGAGGGUCUUUCGAAACUGCAUCUCUAGAGAGGGUCAGGGGCCGGCAGAAUUCCUGGUGUAGAGGUGAAAUUCGUAGAUAUCAGGAGGAAUACCGGUGGCGAAAGCGGCCGGCUGGGGCCACUCUGACGCUGAGGCGCGAAAGCGUGGGGAGCAAACAGGAUUAGAUACCCUGGUAGUCCACGCCGUAAACGAUGAGCACUGGACGUUCGGAAGGUUCGACCCUUCUGGGUGUUUCAGCUAACGCAUUAAGUGCUCGCCUGGGAGUACNGUCGCAAGACUAAACUC